AACCCAUGGUGAGGGCACCUUUUCAAUAGAUAUUUGUAUCUCUCCCAUGCAUCAUAAAUGUUUCUAAAUCCAUCUGCACAAAAGAAGAGAUAUCAUUCCUUAAUUU
rfam:Gossypium arboreum cultivar AKA8401 contig_12155_3, whole genome shotgun sequence.